rnacentral:rRNA from 1 species
CAAAAACAUCGCCUCYUGAAAAACCAAAAGAUAAGAGGUCCCGCCUGCCCUGUGACAGUAUGUUUAACGGCCGCGGUAUUUUGACCGUGCGAAGGUAGCGCAAUCACUUGUCUCUUAAAUGGAGACCUGUAUGAACGGCACGACGAGGGCUUAACUGUCUCCUUUUCCCAGUCAAUGAAAUUGAUCUCCCCGUGCAGAAGCGGGGAUUAGAACAUAAGACGAGAAGACCCUAUGGAGCUUUAGAUAUGGGACAGAUCAUGUUAAGCCCCCUACAAAGGAAGGAAACUAAAUGGCGCCUGUCCUAAUGUCUUUGGUUGGGGCGACCGCGGGGCAACACAAAACCCCCAUGUGGACAGGGGGCACCUCCCCCCAAAACCAAGAGCCACAGCUCUAAGCAGCAGAACAUCUGACCAUCAAGAUCCGGCAAAGCCGAUCAACGGACCGAGUUACCCUAGGGAUAACAGCGCAAUCCCCUUCUAGAGCCCAUAUCGACAAGGGGGUUUACGACCUCGAUGUUGGAUCAGGACAUCCUAACGGUGCAACCGCUAUUAAGGGUUCGUUUGUUCAACGAUUAAAGUC